UUUUUUUGUCAUAAGAGUGUUGAUUUUAUAUAUAACAGAGCUAGUACAACGAGUACAAAAGUGGAAACAACCACUUAACAAAAGGCUUACCUAAUAACUAUUACAGCAGAUGAUUAUCAGAAGUAUACAUAACAAACCAUUGUAACAGGAGGAA
rnacentral:sRNA from 1 species